rnacentral:rRNA from 1 species
AUGAACGCUAGCUACAGGCUUAACACAUGCAAGUCGAGGGGCAGCAUGAACUUAGCUUGCUAAGUUUGAUGGCGACCGGCGCACGGGUGAGUAACACGUAUCCAACCUGCCGAUGACUCGGGGAUAGCCUUUCGAAAGAAAGAUUAAUACCCGAUGGCAUAGUUCUUCCGCAUGGUAGAACUAUUAAAGAAUUUCGGUCAUCGAUGGGGAUGCGUUCCAUUAGGUUGUUGGCGGGGUAACGGCCCACCAAGCCUUCGAUGGAUAGGGGUUCUGAGAGGAAGGUCCCCCACAUUGGAACUGAGACACGGUCCAAACUCCUACGGGAGGCAGCAGUGAGGAAUAUUGGUCAAUGGACGAGAGUCUGAACCAGCCAAGUAGCGUGAAGGAUGACUGCCCUAUGGGUUGUAAACUUCUUUUAUACGGGAAUAAAGUGAGGCACGUGUGCCUUUUUGUAUGUACCGUAUGAAUAAGGAUCGGCUAACUCCGUGCCAGCAGCCGCGGUAAUACGGAGGAUCCGAGCGUUAUCCGGAUUUAUUGGGUUUAAAGGGAGCGUAGGCGGACGCUUAAGUCAGUUGUGAAAGUUUGCGGCUCAACCGUAAAAUUGCAGUUGAUACUGGGUGUCUUGAGUACAGUAGAGGCAGGCGGAAUUCGUGGUGUAGCGGUGAAAUGCUUAGAUAUCACGAAGAACUCCGAUUGCGAAGGCAGCCUGCUGGACUGUAACUGACGCUGAUGCUCGAAAGUGUGGGUAUCAAACAGGAUUAGAUACCCUGGUAGUCCACACAGUAAACGAUGAAUACUCGCUGUUUGCGAUAUACAGUAAGCGGCCAAGCGAAAGCGUUAAGUAUUCCACCUGGGGAGUACGCCGGCAACGGUGAAACUCAAAGGAAUUGACGGGGGCCCGCACAAGCGGUGGAGCAUGUGGUUUAAUUCGAAGCAACGCGAAGAACCUUACCAGGUCUUGACAUCCUUUGACCACUCUAGAGAUAGAGCUUUCCCUUCGGGGACAAAGUGACAGGUGGUGCAUGGUUGUCGUCAGCUCGUGCCGUGAGGUGUCGGCUUAAGUGCCAUAACGAGCGCAACCCUUAUCGAUAGUUACCAUCAGGUGAUGCUGGGGACUCUGUCGAGACUGCCGUCGUAAGAUGUGAGGAAGGUGGGGAUGACGUCAAAUCAGCACGGCCCUUACGUCCGGGGCUACACACGUGUUACAAUGGGGGGUACAGAAGGCAGCUACACGGCGACGUGAUGCUAAUCCCGAAAGCCUCUCUCAGUUCGGAUUGGAGUCUGCAACCCGACUCCAUGAAGCUGGAUUCGCUAGUAAUCGCGCAUCAGCCACGGCGCGGUGAAUACGUUCCCGGGCCUUGUACACACCGCCCGUCAAGCCAUGAAAGCCGGGGGUACCUGAAGUGCGUAACCGCAAGGAGCGCCCUAGGGUAAAACUGGUGAUUGGGGCU